CCCAUGGUAUCCAGAGCAACUGUUUAAGUGGACUAAGGGAGAAAGGGAAGCUAACUGGCCUGAGAACUUCCUUCUACUGGGAAAAUCCACAAGUCCAUUAAAGGCAGAUUUUAUCCUACUUGCAGCUGUUUGGUGGCAGAUGACAAAACUUGUCAGCCAAAGGAGUUGGAACUGCCACCUAGGCUUCAGCCACUUCAAGACAUUUUCAAACUGCUUAUAGAGCCAAAGUCCUGCCAGCUGCAAGCUACUUAGAGCAAGAUAAUCAAAUGAUCUCCUCCAGCUGCAUUGCAACACCUGGCUGCUGUAGGACAUCUCACUGCAGCUUGCAAGAAAAAAGGGAAGAUUACGUGCAUCUAAACUUCCUUCAAAGAUAGAAGGCAUGCUAGAAAGAUAUGUUCAACUACAGUAUUUCAUCGGAGAGGAAAACUGGAGAAAAAUCCUUCUGAUGAUUUUGCCAGUGGUCAUCCAAGCGCUUGGCAUCCAGCUCAUUCUGUUUCUCCUGUUGCCUCUCCAGCAGCUUCUUUAAGACUCUCAGUCGGAUCUCCUGCAACCUGCAAGGAAAAGAAAGGCCAGCUGAAAGGAUAAAGGGCUCUGUCCUAAAAAGAAAUGCAAUAUGGAAGAACAUUUGUCACACUCAUUUAAAAGAAAAAAACAACAAAAACAACAAAAAUCAAAAAUGCAACACUAAGUUAAAGCUGGGAUGAAAACAGAGGACCACGUACUGAGAUCAACUGCCUUCAAAGACCUCAUGUGAACCCUGUGAGCUGUGAUGUGGAACUUGGGGAGCCUACUGUAUGGUUACCAUCUACAGCAAAGCCUGAAGAGAGAUAAGCCUUAACCUCACGUGGCAGACAGUUUACUGCCAAGAGCAGAUAGCACAAGGAUGAAGGAAUGUGUAACAUCCACCCUAUAAGAAACAGAUGGGCAGCCAUACUCCACAACAGCUGCAAUCUCUUAAUUUCAAGGGAAAUAUAAGUAGGAGCAAAUUGCAGUCAUCUCCACUUCAGUGUGUAAGGGUUUUUGUUGUUUUUGUUUGCAUGUUUGUUUUAAAUUAUCCAACCAUGGAACACUUACACAGCAA